rnacentral:antisense_RNA from 1 species
CUUGACCGUGCCGAGCCACAACGGCCGGUCCGCAGGGCGCUGCCCGUAGGUCGCCAACAACGCCUGCGCCUC